GUACCUGUAGCUCAGUGGAUAGAGCACUUGUCUACGGAACAAGGGGUCCGGGGUUCGAAUCCCUGCAGGUACG
rnacentral:tRNA from 1 species